rnacentral:rRNA from 1 species
UGGGGAAUAUUGGACAAUGGGCGCAAGCCUGAUCCAGCAAUGCCGCGUGUGUGAAGAAGGCCUGCGGGUUGUAAAGCACUUUCGGUGGGGAAGAAAGUUCUGGGGUGAAUAGCCCUGGGAGUUGACGUUACUCACAGAAGAAGCACCGGCUAACUCCGUGCCAGCAGCCGCGGUAAUACGGAGGGUGCAAGCGUUAAUCGGAAUCACUGGGCGUAAAGCGCACGUAGGCGGCUUGGUCAGUCAGAUGUGAAAGCCCUGGGCUCAACCUGGGAACGGCAUUUGAUACUGCCAGGCUUGAGUUUGAGAGAGGGGGGUGGAAUUCCAGGUGUAGCGGUGAAAUGCGUAGAGAUCUGGAGGAACACCAGUGGCGAAGGCGGCCCCCUGGUUCAAAACUGACGCUGAGGUGCGAAAGCGUGGGGAGCAAACA